rnacentral:rRNA from 1 species
AUCCGGACGGCGGAAUUCAGGAUGGCUGACGGGUUCCGCGCUCGUCCAGCCGUUUGAUAUUUCCGUCGUCGUGUCGGACGUCGCGACCUGUUCGUCGUCGGUCCCUGCUCGGAGGAAUCGCGAUCGAGUUCGUUGCGCGGUGCGUUUCGGCGUGCCGUGCGGCGAAGACGUGGCUCUCUGGCUGACGGCGGACAGUAAGCAACGGUGUCUGGCGUCGUGUCUCGCACUCGAUGCUGGUGCCGGUCUGCGACGAUUUCUUCGGGCCUCUUUCCGACCCGUCUUGAAACACGGACCAAGGAGUCUAACAUGCGCGCGAGUCGCGGGGUUUCGAGCGUGCCACGGUGCGCUCGUUACUUGCGAAACCCGUACGUUGAAGGCGUAAUGAAAGUGAAGAGGGAAGAUGGCGUUCCGAGUCCACGUACCGUGAUCGAGUGUCGCGGCCGGACGUCCGCAUUCCCGGGGCGUCUCAAUGGCUCGUCGCGGAUGCGGACGACCGUCUCUCGGGACGGUCGUCGGUCUGUGCCGGACCGA